AUUGAACGCUGGCGGCGGGCUUAACACAUGCAAGUCGAACGAGCGGCGGACGGGUGAGUAAUGUCUGGGCAACUGCCCGCUGGAGGGGGAUAACUACUGGAAACGGUUGCUAAUACAGCCUCACAUCAGAUGUGCCCAGAUGGGAUUAGCUGGUAGGUGGGGUAAUGGCUCACCUAGGCGACGAUCCCUAGCUGGUCCGAGAGGAUGACCAGCCACCCUGGAACUGAGACAAGGUCCAGACUCCUACGGGAGGCAGCAGCGGGGAAUAUUGCACAAGGGGCGCAAGCCUGAUGUGGCCAUGCCGCGAGUGUGAAGAAGGCCUUCGGGUUGUAAAGCACUUUCCGCGAGGAGGCGUUACUCGCAGAAUAAGCACCGGCUAACUCCGUGCCAGCAGCCGCGGUAAUAC
rnacentral:rRNA from 1 species